UUGCUUCGUAUCCCUCCAUAUGGUAAUCAAAAGGACCAUAGACAUUGAAUAGCAAUUAAAGUUGAUUAGGGCCAAAGAUCCAUAAACUGAUAAUCAACUUCUUAUUUAUUUAGAGAACCAACACAUUACCACUCCACCACAGCCAUCGACUCAUCUUCACAUUUCGCCCCUCCGGCUUACCACUAAACGGUUCCACCAGUGUUAGGUGAUGAUGUUGUUUACUUCUGUACAAGAAUCAUUGAAGAUGGGAACAUACGAUUUUAUGUUUACAAUUUUUGUUUUCUUUAAUUGUUGUUGUAUACUAUAAUUGUGAGAAAUAGUAUCUCAUGUUGUAUUCAUUGUAAUGAGAUGGCUGAAUUUGAUAGCGUAAUUCUAGAAAUCAGCAAUGAGAUAUCUAAUUUGAGAUUGUAAGGUACAUGGCUUGAGAGUUUGAUCUCAAAAGUCAAUAUUGAAAAGACCCCAUUUUCAACGAAAAA